CUUCCGGUCAAAGAGGUUGAUGUACCUCCCUGACCAGAAGGGUUUCCUUCCGGUCAACGAGGUACAUGUACCUCAUCGACCGGAAGGAAACCCUUCCAAUCAAUGAGGUACAUCAACCUCAUUGACCGGAAG
rnacentral:miRNA from 1 species